rnacentral:rRNA from 1 species
CCUACGGGAGGCAGCAGUGAGGAAUAUUGGUCAAUGGGCGGGAGCCUGAACCAGCCAAGUCGCGUGAGGGAAGACGGUCCUAUGGAUUGUAAACCUCUUUAGGCGGGGAGCAAUGCCGGGCACGCGUGCCCGGAGGGAGAGUACCCGCAGAAUAAGCAUCGGCUAACUCCGUGCAAGCAGCCGCGGUAAUACGGAGAGUGCGAGCGUUAUCCGGAUUUAGUGGGUUUAAAGGGUGCGUAGUGGGAUUUUUAAGUCAGCGGUAAAAUGUCCGGGCUCAACCCGGACCGGCCGUUGAAACUGGGGAUCUUGAGUGGGCGAGAAGUAUGCGGAAUGCGUGGUGUAGCGGUGAAAUGCAUAGAGAUCACGCAGAACUCCGAUUGCGAAGGCAGCAUACCGGCGCCCGACUGACGCUGAGGCACGAAAGCGUGGGGAUCGAACAGGAUUAGAUACCCCUGUAGUC